rnacentral:rRNA from 1 species
UGAGGAAUCUUGCGCAAUGGGGGAAACCCUGACGCAGCCACGCCGCGUGGGUGAAGAAGGUCUUCGGAUCGUAAAGCCCUGUCAGGUGGGAAGAACCGCAGUCGGGUGAAUAAUCUGGCUGCCUGACGGUACCACCAAAGGAAGCACCGGCUAACUCCGUGCCAGCAGCCGCGGUAAUACGGAGGGUGCAAGCGUUGUUCGGAAUUACUGGGCGUAAAGCGCGUGUAGGCGGCCUGAUAAGUCAUAUGUGAAAGCCCUCGGCUUAACCGGGGAAGUGCAUCUGAUACUGUCAGGCUUGAGUCCUGGAGAGGGUUGUGGAAUUCCCGGUGUAGAGGUGAAAUUCGUAGAUAUCGGGAGGAACACCAGUGGCGAAGGCGACAACCUGGACAGAGACUGACGCUGAGACGCGAAAGCGUGGGGAGCAAACA